GGAAGGACGUCAAUAGUCACACAGUCCUUGACGGUAUAAUAACCACCAUCAUGGCGACCAUCCAAAGGAUAAACAUCAUAGGCAGUCGGGAGGGUAGUCGGAACCGAAGAAGACUCAAAGCGAACCAAACAGGCAAAAAAUUUAGGGUCGGCAUCAAAAGCAAUAUCAGCACCAACAGAAACAACCUGAUUAGC
rnacentral:rRNA from 1 species